rnacentral:rRNA from 1 species
UGGGGAAUUUUGGACAAUGGGGGAAACCCUGAUCCAGCCAUCCCGCGUGUGCGAUGAAGGCCUUCGGGUUGUAAAGCACUUUUGGCAGGAAAGAAACGUCAUGGGUUAAUACCCCGUGAAACUGACGGUACCUGCAGAAUAAGCACCGGCUAACUACGUGCCAGCAGCCGCGGUAAUACGUAGGGUGCAAGCGUUAAUCGGAAUUACUGGGCGUAACGCGUGCGCAGGCGGUUCGGAAAGAAAGAUGUGAAAUCCCAGAGCUCAACUUUGGAACUGCAUUUUUAACUACCGGGCUAGAGUGUGUCAGAGGGAGGUGGAAUUCCGCGUGUAGCGGUGAAAUGCGUAGAUAUGCGGAGGAACACCGAUGGCGAAGGCAGCCACCUGGGAUAACACUGACGCUCAUGAACGAAAGCGUGGGGAGCAAACAGG